rnacentral:misc_RNA from 1 species
GAUGAAGAACGUAGCGAAAUGCGAUAAGUAAUAUGAAUUGCAGAAUCCAGUGAAUCAUCGAAUCUUUGAACGCACAUUGCGCCCGCCAGCAUUCUGGCGGGCAUGCCUGUUCGAGCGUCAUUUCAACCCUCGACCUCCCCUUGGGGAGGUCGGCGUUGGGGACCGGCAGCACACCGCCGGCCCUGAAAUGGAGUGGCGGCCCGUCUGCGGCGAUCUCUGCGUAGUAAUACAGCUCGCACCGGAACCCCGACGCGGCCACGCCGUAAAACACCCAACUUCUGAACGUUGACCUCGAAUCAGGUAGGACUACCCGCUGAACUUAAGCAUAUCAAUAAGCGGAGGA